rnacentral:rRNA from 1 species
GAGCGUUCCGUAAGCCUGCGAAGGGGCACUGUGAGGUGUCCUGGAGGUAUCGGAAGUGAGAAUGCUGACAUGAGUAGCGACAAAGAGUGUGAGAAACACUCUCGCCGUAAGUCCAAGGGUUCCUGCGCAAGGCUAAUCCGCGCAGGGUGAGUCGGCCCCUAAGACGAGGGUGAAAGCCGUAGUCGAUGGGAAUCAGGUUAAUAUUCCUGAACCUGGUGGUAGUGACGGAUGCCGGAAGUUGUCUCCUCUUAUCGGAUUGAGGGGGCAGCCUGGGCAUUCCAGGAAAUAGCUCCACCGUUAAGACCGUACCCGAAACCGACACAGGUGGACUGGUAGAGAAUACCAAGGCGCUUGAGAGAACGAUGUUGAAGGAACUCGGCAAAAUACCUCCGUAAGUUCGCGAGAAGGAGGCCCAGUUUCUACGCAAGUAUUGGCUGGGGGCACAAACCAGGGGGUGGCGACUGUUUACUAAAAACACAGGGCUCUGCGAAGUCGCAAGACGACGUAUAGGGUCUGACGCCUGCCCGGUGCCGGAAGGUUAAGAGGAGAGGUUC